UACAGAGGUCCCAAGCGUUGUUCGGAUUUAUUGGGCGUAAAGGGUGCGUAGGCGGCGGAGUAAGUUGGGUGUGAAAUCCCGGGGCUCAACCUCGGAAUUGCAUUCAAUACUGCUUCGCUUGAGUACUGGAGAGGAGACUGGAAUUUACGGUGUAGCAGUGAAAUGCGUAGAUAUCGUAAGGAAGGCCGGUGGCGAAAGCGAGUCUCUGGACAGUUACUGACGCUGAUGCACGAAGGCCAAGGGGAGCAAACGGG
rnacentral:rRNA from 1 species